GUAAAAUUUAUUAUAAUGCAUGGCAUACACUUGCAUCUUGGAAAAUACACAGAUUUCCCCAAAUUAUAAAAUUUCAUUUUCAAAAUGUCUUUUAAGCAUGGGUUGAAUUAAAUGUCUGCUGGAACACAAUGAUUAGCAUUCAGACCCUAACAGCACAUAACAGAAUUACGUAACAGAACCCAAUAGCAUAGUACCAAGUUCCUGUAAAUCCAGCACAUUUAUCCUUUAUGUGGCCAAAACUCAACAGCACAUGCCAGUAAGCAAAACACACUUGUAGUUUAUCCAACAAUUCAACACCACCAGCUGUAAAAUGUGUUCACUAAAUAAGGAUCUAAAAGCAAAUCCCCACUAAACUGAUUGAUGUUGCAUGGAUGUUUUACUUGUAAAAUGAGAUUACUUGGGUGAAGACUUGCUACAACCCCAUUGGGGAAUCGUUGCAAUUGGGUUGGAUACAUGUGUGAAGAGAAAGCAUUUGGUUAAGAAAAAGACAACUUUGGAUUUUCUUACGUCAUGUCUUUAUUGUGUGUAAACAAACUCUGAAAAUAGCAUCAGCCAGGUUCUUGAUAAUCGGCAUCAUUAACAUGAUCAAUAUAGUACAUAAUAUCAUGAUUUAAACAUGAUCAUUAUAAUAAAUAACAUGAUAUUUUUUAAAUAACUAUCACAGCUAUUGUCACAGUUCUGUCGAGCAGGGUAACCAUCUUAAAGAGCUGUGUGCGAAUCUUUGUGUGUGUGUGUGUAUGUGUGUGUGUUUAUUAUAUUAUGCCUUUAGUCUGGAGAAUGGAGUUUGUUGUUAGAGUUUAGGUUUUUGGCAAAGUGACCCUUAAUUUCAGAGUCUGAUGAACUUGUGGAAACUAAGUUUAUGCAUCUGCGUGCAGUUUGAAGAAAGUUACAACAGCAUUAGCACAAUUACUGUGAACUUGUAGUCAUUGCAGUAAUGCUAGUCAGUUUUGGCUUACAAAAGGGCGUAGUUAGAUAAAAAUAAGUAAAGUCCGACUACAGAAAAGGGCCUCAUUAUCAAAACCCAAACUAUAACAUUUAAAAUGCUGUGUGUGUGUGUGUGGGGGGGGGUUAGGAUUAGGACACAUCCAUGUGUCUAGUGUCUUAAUGGGUUAGUAGGUAAUCAAAUAGUAACAACUUCUCAGAUUCCUGUUAAAGUAACAAGGGUUGCAAAAAUAACCCUAUUAAAUCAACAAAACAAAACUACAAACGUUCUCCAAGAAUCAAUAGUGUAGUGUUAUGCACACAAAUGCAACAUAAUAUCUGCUUAGUAAUAAUUACUUACAUAAACAACAACAAAUAUAUGUACAAUAACAGAAACUGUAAAAAAAAGAAAACUAUUACCACGUUCAGAACCAGUGACAACGUCGUGUUAUAAGCUUCCGUUUGAAUAGGUAGUGUACUUAUUUUCUUUACUGACCAUUUCAUUGCCACUCCAACGCACAGGGUUUACAACAACCGACAUUUUGUUUAUGGAGGCUAUAUGUACUUUGCCUGACUACUCACACUGCUAUAACAAUCAAUACAUAGUCCGAACCUCUUAGAAGUAAUUUAUGCGGAUGUGAUAACCUACUGGUUUCUGCUACUGGUUUCUGCAACCAAUAAAGUCAAUCAAAAUAAUUUAGUUUUCCCAAAUGGAGAAAAACGGAAAGAAAGCAAAAUCUAGACUCAUCGUGAAGAAGGAAUGUUACUAGGCAUGGCGUUUAGGCAUGGCGUUUAGGCAGAUCAUGUGGAUGGGCAGCCCGGCAAACCAUUGGAUAGUGGGCUCACCCAAAGCCUGUUGCACACCGAGCAUCAAAACUUUGGUCACUUAAAGCUCUCUAACACAUGGGUUACACAGACAGCUUAUGUUGACUUUACAUCCAACUAUUAGAUGGACAUCGCCAUAUUAACCACAUCGUAUUCAUCUAAGAGCAUAAUAAAAAUAUGAUCAGGAGUUCCCCAGUAACAAGUUCCUGUAUAUGAGUUAGUCUGCCUGCUACCUGUCACCCACACUUAAGCAGUUCUCACAAUGGCCUUUUGUUGGCAUGUUUGGGGGAGGAAUGGGCGCGCAGCAGACUAGUCAGACAACGAUGAGGCUUUCAAAUCUACUUAGUGAAAUCAUACCCCUUCUCUGUGGCUAAGGCUGAGCAAUGAAGGCGGGUAAGACAAUCAAACAUUGCUGGCAUUUUCGGAAAACUAAAUUGGGACAACAAGUUUCCAUCCAGAGUUUUUAUACAAGUGAAGUCAUGUGUGAACACCUACUAAAAAUGUAUUCAUUUAUAUUAUUUUCCUGUUUGUAGAAUAACAGUGGAGACAUGAAGUAUGAAAUAACAUGCAAUCAUGUAGUAACCAACAGUUUUUGAUCAAAACACAUAUUGUAGAUACUUCAAAGUAGCCACCCUUUGCAUUCUCCCAACCAGCUUCAUGAGGCAGUCAACAGCAACGCAUUUCUAUUAACAGGUGUGCCUUGUUAGAAGUUCAUUUGUGCAAUAUCUUUCCUUCCUAAUGCAUUUCAGCCAGUUGUGUUCUGACAAUGUGGGGUUGAUAUACAGAAUAUCAUCAUUAUGUCUGUAUUGUAGAAGUCCAUAUUAUGGCAAGAAGAGCUCAAAUACGCAAAGAGAACAGACAGUCCAUCAUUAAGACAAAGGUCAGUCAAUACGGAAAAUGUCAAGAACUCUGAAAGUUAAUUCAAGUGCAGUCGCUGUGAUUUACUUAGAAUUCAAGGCACACACAAUCAACAUGGCUACCACCCCAUUCUGCAGUGAUAUGCCAUCCCAUCUUAUCUGCAUUGGGACUAAUUUGUUUUUCAACAAACCAAGUGCUCAGCAUACGUGGGAACUCUUUCAAGAGUCUUGGUAAAGCAUUCCAGGUGACAAAUUCAUGAAGCAAGCUGUUUGAGAGAAUGCCAUGAG
ensembl:lncRNA